rnacentral:lncRNA from 1 species
UUUUUUUCAUUUUUCACUUUGCUGUUGAUUUAAUCUUUUCUGGAGUUUUUCCAUCUACAUUUCAGUUUCUGCACCAACCGGUAGUGGAAGUCGAAUGGGAUUUUCGUUCAUAUCAACCAUGUUCAAGCACCAAGGUGGAUUUUGUUCAUCUCAUUUACGAUUUCCUUUUUCCACCGCAUAAAAAUUAAAUCUUUUUGUGUUUUUCUGAUCAAAUUUCGUUCUUUUCAUUUUUUGACCGUUUAUUUGUUUCUUUGUUGUUCACAUGGUUGAUUCUGUGUUUUUUUGUUACUUUUGACAGCAUCAAAAUGAUAUUCAUCUACAUUUCAGUUUCUGCAGCAACCGGUAGUGGAAGUGGAAUGGAUUUUCAAGCACCAAGGUGAGAUCUUUUCCUUCAUGUGUUUGUCUGUCCUCAUUUUUUUUUUUCAUUUUUCACUUUGCUGUUGAUUUAAUCUUUUCUGGUAUUUUUCCAUAUACAUUUCAGUUUCUUCAGCAACCGGUAGUGUAAGUGGAAUGGGAUUUUCGUUGAUAUCCAUCUUUUUUUCAGCAUCAAGGUGAAAUCUUUUCCUUCCUUGGUUCUCAUUGUUGUUUUCAUUGUUUAUUUUUUUUGCUGAUAAAAUCUUUAAUGGUGUUUUUUUGUGUUUAUUUCAUAAAUCUCAUACAUGUGUUUAUUUUCUUUUAGGAUCUUUAUCCUAAGGCCAAAAAAAGCUUCUGUUAAAUUUGGUUGUGGAUGGAGGAAAUUUUGUCAGAUACAUGUACUGUGUGAAGACCACAAACUGAUCUUUGAAAGUGGACUAACCCCAAUUCAUAUGAUGGUGUUGUUAGUGCUUCAAAAUUCAAUAUUGUAUUCGGAAUUUAUUUAUAGAUAGAUGUAAUUUCCAAAUUGUUGUAAUGUCGAGUAUAGAAAAUUAAUUCUUUACUUUAUUUUGGUUAUCAAUUUUGUUUUAAAUUUUUAUUCGCAUUAAUGUACUC